rnacentral:lncRNA from 1 species
CGUAGUUAUCUUUUUGGAACUACUUUGUCUAAUUGCAAGAAGGCUUGCAUAAUCCUUUUACUACUUUUUACAAUGGAUUUCAGGUUUUGAGCUCAUGCAAAACAUUCACACCUCCCAGAAGUAAUAACUAGGUUCAAAUGACACAUUCAAAAGGCAUUCCUCAGCACUAGAUCAAGUUUCAGAUUCCUUUUUACUGAUCUCUCUUUCCUAAUAAUACCACUGCACAGUGGAAAAGCCAGCUGUAGAUAUGCACAGCAUCAGAGGGCCACUUUGUAGUUAGCAUGAAGGACCGCAUCCACUGCAGUGAAUGGAAGGCAACUUUAAAUUUGUGUAGGAUCUGCCUCAGGCCACAGUUAGACCGUCUUCCUUUCAGACUUUGCUAUGACAGGUUUCCAUGUCAUUAAUAGGAAAGUACUAUCAUGGUGAGUUUGGAAGACCUAGCAUCACCUGAGAAAUCAAUUACAUAAUUCAAAGCAAUGUUUUUUUCUGUUCAAGAGGACCUCAUCAGUAUAACCUCAAAAUGUGUAUUUUUGCUUUCUUUGAACAAAACUUCAGAUUAGGCAGUUCUGUUUUGUAAUAAUGAAUGUCUGGGUUCGGUGUUGCCCUUUUUCCCCCUGCAGCACUAACAAUUGGGAAACCGUAAUAAUACCUUGAGAAACCUUUGGGAAGUCCAAAACAAUGCAUGCACAGGACUCUUUCACAAAAUGCUGCUAUGUAUAUAAAAUAAACCACCUGAAGUCCACCUUAAGAAAUGCUCAGAGGAGAUAGGAAAGAACUUCAAUAACUACUUAAAACGCUUUGGACAAACAGCCGAGUGGUACAAAAGAUUUUUAUUCCUGGGAACACACCUUUACAAAUGUAUCUGCUUCUGUGCUGUGGAACAGUACUGCAUUGCAAAGUUUUUCAGGUGGGAAAUGAAAUCCUUAAGAAACAAGCUGAGAACUCUUUGCCUUACUGUUGUGCAUAAAAUUGGUUUCCAUAUCUGGAAUUGAAGCAUUCCUUUGUCAAAAAAUAUUAUUUGGCAAGGUUUCUUCCACAGUCAACAAAAAAUGUAAACCCCUCUAAGAAGUGAUUCAGGAUGCCUAUAUAAGGCACCCACUUCUCUGACCCAACUGCUCAGGCCUGCCAGAUGAUUCAGGGCUCCCAUGUGCACAGCUGGGGAACUACGCAGAGCUGG